rnacentral:rRNA from 1 species
UACGUAGGGGGCAAGCGUUGUCCGGAAUCAUUGGGCGUAAAGCGCGUGUAGGCGGCCCGGUAAGUCCGCUGUGAAAGUCCAGGGCUCAACCCUGGAAUGCCGGUGGAUACUGUCGGGCUCGAGUCCGGAAGAGGCGAGUGGAAUUCCUGGUGUAGCGGUGAAAUGCGCAGAUAUCAGGAGGAACACCUAUAGCGAAGGCAGCUUGCUGGGACGUUACUGACGCUAAGGCGCGAAAGCGUGGGGAGCGAACAGG